rnacentral:rRNA from 1 species
GCAAAUGUGGAGCCGCAGCGAAAGCGAGUCUGAAUAGGGCGUUGAGUAUUUGGUCGUAGACCCGAAACCAGGUGAUCUACCCUUGGUCAGGUUGAAGUUCAGGUAACACUGAAUGGAGGACCGAACCGACUUACGUUGAAAAGUGAGCGGAUGAACUGAGGGUAGCGGAGAAAUUCCAAUCGAACUUGGAGAUAGCUGGUUCUCUCCGAAAUAGCUUUAGGGCUAGCCUCAAGUGAUGAUUAUUGGAGGUAGAGCACUGUUUGGACGAGGGGCCCCUCUCGGGUUACCGAAUUCAGACAAACUCCGAAUGCCAAUUAAUUUAACUUGGGAGUCAGAACAUGGGUGAUAAGGUCCGUGUUCGAAAGGGAAACAGCCCAGACCACCAGCUAAGGUCCCAAAAUAUAUGUUAAGUGGAAAAGGAUGUGGCGUUGCCCAGACAACUAGGAUGUUGGCUUAGAAGCAGCCAUCAUUUAAAGAGUGCGUAAUAGCUCACUAGUCGAGUGACACUGCGCCGAAAAUGUACCGGGGCUAAACAUAUUACCGAAGCUGUGGAUUGUCCUUUGGACAAUGGUAGGAGAGCGUUCUAAGGGCGUCGAAGCAUGAUCGCAAGGACAUGUGGAGCGCUUAGAAGUGAGAAUGCCGGUGUGAGUAGCGAAAGACGGGUGAGAAUCCCGUCCACCGAUUGACUAAGGUUUCCAGAGGAAGGCUCGUCCGCUCUGGGUUAGUCGGGUCCUAAGCUGAGGCCGACAGGCGUAGGCGAUGGAUAACAGGUUGAUAUUCCUGUACCACCUAGUAUCGUUUUAAUCGAUGGGGGGACGCAGUAGGAUAGGCGAAGCGUGCUGUUGGAGUGCACGUCCAAGCAGUAAGGCUGAGUGUUAGGCAAAUCCGGCACUCAUAAGGCUGAGCUGUGAUGGGGAGAGGAAAUUGUUUCCUCGAGUCGUUGAUUUCACACUGCCGAGAAAAGCCUCUAGAUAGAUAACAGGUGCCCGUACCGCAAACCGACACAGGUAGUCAAGAUGAGAAUUCUAAGGUGAGCGAGCGAACUCUCGUUAAGGAACUCGGCAAAAUGACCCCGUAACUUCGGGAGAAGGGGUGCUCUUUAGGGUUCACGCCCAGAAGAGCCGCAGUGAAUAGGCCCAAGCGACUGUUUAUCAAAAACACAGGUCUCUGCUAAACCGUAAGGUGAUGUAUAGGGGCUGACGCCUGCCCGGUGCUGGAAGGUUAAGAGGAGUGGUUAGCUUCUGCGAAGCUAC